AUUUGGAGCCUCCAAUUAAUGCAUGUUUUUUGGGAUGUGGGAGGAAACUAGAGUUCCUGGAGAAAAACAUAGGCAUAGGAGAAAAUGCAAUUUCCACACACGUGGGGCCAGGAUUUGAACUACGAUCCUCAGAAUUUGGAGCUGACGCCAGUCCCGCGCCAGUAGCUGCCGCGGGAUCCUCCCGUAUCUCCGAGCCAGUCCCCUCGACGGUCCCUGGUGCACAUUUGGGUGUCUGCUCUCCGCUCUCCCAUCUGGAGCAUUUCUCAGGGGACUCUGAGCGAAGAUUGCGCUCAUUAUUUCCCAGCUGAUGGGACGCGCUGAAGAAUGGGCGACCACUGAGUGGAGCCACGACGUGGAAACGUGUCGGUUGUGGGCGUCCUUUGUGAAGUACAUGGUGCAAGUGUUCCAGUAUGCAUAGCCUGGACGCGAAGCGGCAAACUCCUUGAUCACGC